rnacentral:rRNA from 1 species
GAUGAACGCUGGCGGCGUGCCUAAUACAUGCAAGUCGAGCGAACAAACGAGGAGCUUGCUCCUCUGACGUUAGCGGCGGACGGGUGAGUAACACGUGGAUAACCUACCUAUAAGACUGGGAUAACUUCGGGAAACCGGAGCUAAUACCGGAUAACAUGUUGAACCGCAUGGUUCAACAGUGAAAGACGGUCUUGCUGUCACUUAUAGAUGGAUCCGCGCCGCAUUAGCUAGUUGGUAAGGUAACGGCUUACCAAGGCAACGAUGCGUAGCCGACCUGAGAGGGUGAUCGGCCACACUGGAACUGAGACACGGUCCAGACUCCUACGGGAGGCAGCAGUAGGGAAUCUUCCGCAAUGGGCGAAAGCCUGACGGAGCAACGCCGCGUGAGUGAAGAAGGUCUUCGGAUCGUAAAACUCUGUUAUUAGGGAAGAACAAAUGUGUAAGUAACUAUGCACGUCUUGACGGUACCUAAUCAGAAAGCCACGGCUAACUACGUG